AGGACGAACGCUGGCGGCGUGCUUAACACAUGCAAGUCGAGCGGAAAGGCCCUUCGGGGUACUCGAGCGGCGAACGGGUGAGUAACACGUGAGUAAUCUGCCCCUAGCUCUGGGAUAGCUCCGGGAAACCGGGAUUAAUACCGGAUAUGACCACUUUAGACAUCUGCUGUGGUGGAAAGAAUUUCGGCUAGGGAUGAGCUCGCGGCCUAUCAGGCUUGUUGGUGGGGUAACGGCCUACCAAGGCGACGACGGGUAGCCGGCCUGAGAGGGCGACCGGCCACACUGGGACUGAGACACGGCCCAGACUCCUACGGGAGGCAGCAGUGGGGAAUAUUGCGCAAUGGGCGAAAGCCUGACGCAGCGACGCCGCGUGGGGGAUGAAGGCCUUCGGGUUGUAACCCUUUCAGCAGGACGAAGCGAAAGUGACGGUACCUGCAGAAGAAGCGCCGGCGUAACUACGCGCCAGCAGCCGC
rnacentral:rRNA from 1 species